rnacentral:rRNA from 1 species
UAGGGAAUCUUCCACAGUGGGCGAAAGCCUGAUGGAGCAACGCCGCGUGUGUGAUGAAGGGUUUCGGCUCGUAAAACACUGUUGUAAGAGAAGAAUGACAUUGAGAGUAACUGUUCAAUGUGUGACGGUAUCUUACCAGAAAGGAACGGCUAAAUACGUGCUAG